CACCACAGGAUUUUUGCGCUUUCAAUGUGGUGAAGUUGAACACUAUAAGUGAGAGAUUGAAGAAAGAACAAGAAAGGCACAAGCAGCAUCUGAAGAAUACAGAAAACUUCACUUAGAAGUCAGAUGGAACUCAGAAUGAAAGAUCUUGAAUCUGAAGUCUCCAACAGGAAAACUUCUUGAGAAGUCUUUCAUUAUAUUGAAUUGGGAAAAUACAAGCACCUCUAUCAAUUAGAAUUGGAAGUUAGAAAAUACUUGUCAAACAAAAUUAAAAAUCUUCACAGAACUACUGAGAGACUAGCAGCAUUCAGUAGCAAUCUUUUUGUGGAGACAGGAGACCAGAACUUUCUUUACCACUCUUGGACAGUCCUAUAGUCACCUCCUGGUGGCAAUCUUAAUAAUGGUUUAGGUCUUCACAGAGAAUUUACUUCAAAAGAAUACUCAACGUUCUCUUUUUCCUGCCCAUGGACUUCACAUACCAGCAGGAAGAACAACUUGAGUGAGAACUCCAUGGAAUGCCAAACAUGGUGCCCAUGUCUCCUGAAGAUGUAAGAAGAGCAUCCCAAUCCAAAAUUUGAUUUCACCAAAGAAUCUAUUUCUGGAAAAUCUCAAAAUGAAUCCAACAAUGAAAAGCUAUGGUGCUGCUGGAUACUCUCCUGUGGAAGAGCUUCUUCUCUAGAAUUCACUGAUGAGUCAAAUCUAAAUGAAGACAUUCUUUAGAA